rnacentral:rRNA from 1 species
GACGAACGCUGGCGGCGUGCUUAACACAUGCAAGUCGAACGGAAAGGCCCUGCUUUUGUGGGGUGCUCGAGUGGCGAACGGGUGAGUAACACGUGAAUAACCUGCCCUUGACUUUGGGAUAACUUCAGGAAACUGGGGCUAAUACCGGAUAGGAGCUCCUGCUGCAGGGUGGGGGUUGGAAAGUUUCGGCGGUUGGGGAUGGACUCGCGGCUUAUCAGCUUGUUGGUGGGGGAGUGGCUUACCAAGGCUUUGACGGGUAGCCGGCCUGAGAGGGUGACCGGCCACAUUGGGACUGAGAUACGGCCCAGACUCCUACGGGAGGCAGCAGUGGGGAAUAUUGCACAAUGGGCGGAAGCCUGAUGCAGCAACGCCGCGUGCGGGAUGACGGCCUUCGGGUUGUAAACCGCUUUCGCCUGUGACGAAGCGUGAGUGACGGUAAUGGGUAAAGAAGCACCGGCUAACUACGUG